ensembl:lncRNA
CUUUACAGGCCGGGCAUUGAUUGUUAUUCGACACUCGGAGACCAACCUUCAAAAGCACUUACAAUAAAACACAGAGCACUGUCAUAAUGAGCAUAUCCUAUUUAACCGAACAGAAAAUACAUUUUCACUGGUGAACACUUAGAGACCAUUAGCAGUACUAGUGUAAAAGCCAGGCGUCUUUCCAUCAUCAAUAUCCCAUAAGUGGGCCACUGCAUGUGCACUGAGGGCCCGGCCUGGUGAAAAAUCUCCCAGGCUGCCGGUGCUGCUGUUGUUGAUGACUUGUCCAGCCUGACUGACAGACACUUUUGUUUUCCGCGGAUUAGGCAAUCUGACUUCAUCACAGUCCAUCAGGGGGUUCACGUAACGCUGCCUGGAGGUCACUGCACCCACGUGACCCCCUCCUGUCUACUGGCUACCCCGAUGACAAGGCUGUCCACCCUCCAGACCGAGACCAGACAGUGGACGUGGUGACCCCACCCUGCUCAAACACACACAGAGGUCACUCAUGCAAGAAGUGAUCAAAUUUCCAAUAUCACAGUGAACGAGGAAACCAAUCCCCUCUUCCACAGUCCAUCUCCAUCUCUUUCGGAGAGGCCGCAGGUGCGCCAAAGUCCAAACCUAGAGGUCUAUCCAAUUCUGGCAGGACAGAGGAGGCAGGGACCCGUGACUUCUCACACAGCUCAGUGGUGGGACACGAUCACAGCUGAAGGACAGGGAGAGAGAAAGAAGCAGUUGGGGGCAGGGUGAUGCUCUGUGAGAGAAUGCAGAGGGUCGGUCUCAGCUCCAGCUGUCCGGGGGUUUAUUGAUCGGUGAUAGCCCUGAGGGGGGAGGGGGCAGAUCACCAGCACUGCCCUGUCCUCCAUAACAACAUAACAAGAGGACUACUAGAAUUAACUCACAGUGGACAUUGUUAACCGUCAAGCUAUGAGCUGACUGUAAAUGACCUAGAAAUAAAAGGAAUGGUUGUAUAUCUGAACUGAAAAAUGUUUGUGGUUAUAUUGGGAAUCACUCAAAACUGUCUAGAUCUUGAUCUUUUUAUGCACCUGUAGUAAACAACAUUGUGUGCUUGUGAUGUUUGUACUGUCUGUAGCCCGUGUUUACAACAUUCAGUACUGCCAUAAAGUAAAACUAAGUUGAAUUAAAAUAGUUUAUAAUGAAAAAAUAAGAGUUAAGCUGAAUCAUUUCCUUUAACAAAUUAAUAAAAUUCAGCUUGGUUUCUUUUUUAUUAGCUGCUUCCCCAAUAUUGUUAAUAACAGAAAAAGAUUUAAGUGGGGUGGCAUGAAUUUUUUUUACUUCUUUUUGACAUAAAGUCUCCCAUGAUGACUGUUUAAAGGCACAGUUGGUGGUGUGGCAGUUAAUUUAUGUCAAAAACCUCUCUUAUUUUUUGUAACACAAACAACUUAUACAUGUGUUUCCUCCCACAGCUGCCAAAUUAGACUGAUCAAGAUCAAGGCCACUUCCAGCAGGAUCUAGGUCAUUUCCACUUAUAAUAAUGUAGAAAAAGUCAGAACCCUUGCUCAGUGAGCAGUUGACUUGUAAUUAACCAGAACAUACUGUUCAAUUAAAAUCUGGCAUUUAGGUGUGAAUUAUAAAAUGAAAUGUGAAACAGUCAAAUGAUGUAUAUAUGCAAAAACAUUAUAGGAUGUAGCCAGCCAUAGAAGUUUUCAUGAGUUAGUAUUAUUUAUAUAUGGAGGGUAUUUAACGUUCAGCUCAUUGUAGCCUUUAGGUGUUCC